rnacentral:rRNA from 1 species
AGAGUUUGAUCCUGGCUCAGAACGAACGCUGGCGGCAGGCCUAACACAUGCAAGUCGAGCGCGCUUUCGGGUGAGCGGCGGACGGGUUAGUAACGCGUGGGAACGUGCCCUUCUCUACGGAAUAGCCUCUGGAAACGGAGAGUAAUACCGUAUACGCCCUUUGGGGGAAAGAUUUAUCGGAGAAGGAUCGGCCCGCGUUAGAUUAGGUAGUUGGUGGGGUAAUGGCCUACCAAGCCUACGAUCUAUAGCUGGUUUUAGAGGAUGAUCAGCAACACUGGGACUGAGACACGGCCCAGACUCCUACGGGAGGCAGCAGUGGGGAAUCUUAGACAAUGGGGGCAACCCUGAUCUAGCCAUGCCGCGUGAGUGAUGAAGGCCUUAGGGUCGUAAAGCUCUUUCGCCUGUGAUGAUAAUGACAGUAGCAGGUAAAGAAACCCCGGCUAACUCCGUGCCAGCAGCCGCGGUAAUACGGAGGGGGUUAGCGUUGUUCGGAAUUACUGGGCGUAAAGCGCGCGUAGGCGGAUUAGAAAGUUGGGGGUGAAAUCCCGGGGCUCAACCUCGGAACUGCCUCCAAAACUGCUAGUCUAGAGUUCGAGAGAGGUGAGUGGAAUUCCGAGUGUAGAGGUGAAAUUCGUAGAUAUUCGGAGGAACACCAGUGGCGAAGGCGGCUCACUGGCUCGAUACUGACGCUGAGGUGCGAAAGUGUGGGGAGCAAACAGGAUUAGAUACCCUGGUAGUCCACACCGUAAACGAUGAAUGCCAGUCGUCGGGUAGUAUACUAUUCGGUGACACACCUAACGGAUUAAGCAUUCCGCCUGGGGAGUACGGUCGCAAGAUUAAAACUCAAAGGAAUUGACGG